GAUGAACGCUGGCGGCGUGCCUAAUACAUGCAAGUCGAGCGAACGGAUAAGGAGCUUGCUCCUUUGAAGUUAGCGGCGGACGGGUGAGUAACACGUGGGUAACCUACCUAUAAGACUGGAAUAACUUCGGGAAACCGGAGCUAAUGCCGGAUAACAUUUGGAACUGCAUGGUUCUAAAGUAAAAGAUGGUUUUGCUAUCACUUCUAGAUGGACCCGCGCCGUAUUAGCUAGUUGGUAAGGUAACGGCUUACCAAGGCAACGAUACGUAGCCGACCUGAGAGGGUGAUCGGCCACACUGGAACAGAGACACGGUCCAGACUCCUACGGGAGGCAGCAGUAGGGAAUCUUCCGCAAUGGACGAAAGUCUGACGGAGCAACGCCGCGUGAGUGAUGAAGGUUUUCGGAUCGUAAAACUCUGUUAUUAGGGAAGAACAAAUGUGUAAGUAACUGUGCACAUCUUGACGGUACCUAAUCAGAAAGCCACGGCUAACUACGUGCCAGCCGCCGCGGUAA
rnacentral:rRNA from 1 species